GUGCCAGCAGCCGCGGUAAUACGUAGGGUGCGAGCGUUAAUCGGAAUUACUGGGCGUAAAGCGUGCGCAGGCGGUUCGCCAAGUCAGGUGUGAAAUCCCCGGGCUUAACCUGGGAAUUGCGCUUGAAACUAGCGGGCUUGAGUGCGGCAGAGGGGGGUGGAAUUCCACGUGUAGCAGUGAAAUGCGUAGAGAUGUGGAGGAACACCGAUGGCGAAGGCAGCCCCCUGGGUCGACACUGACGCUCAUGCACGAAAGCGUGGGGAGCAAACAGGAUUAGAUACCCUAGUAGUCC
rnacentral:rRNA from 1 species